CAUGACUCAGCACCUUGCCUGGCUGGGGACAAGCCAGGCUCAGGACCCACAGAACUCCAGAUUGCGGCUCCAGAUCAGGCAGGUGGUCGCCAUCAACCCCAGUUGGGAAGCAGGAGAUCCUCCUUCUGAGGAACCGGCAGAAGAUCAGGAGCAGCCUACCGCCGCGUCCCUAUGCGGGUGCCGCUCCCCGCUCUUCGUCCCAUCCCACGGGCCUUUGAUCCUCUCGCAUCAUCCCAGAAGGAAUCAUUUGAGAGGAUUCAUACAGGAGUGAGAACUGCACCACAAGAGGGGAGGCAGAGAGCAUGGACAGAACGUGGAUCGUGGGGGAGAUGUAGUGGAUUCAGGCCUGGAUUUCCUUUCAGUUUUCUUUCAGGUUUCCUUUCAAUAAGAAUGCACUCCACAUGGGGCGCCUGGGUGGCUCAGUGGGUUAAGCCUCUGCCUUCGGCUCAGGUCAUGAUCUCAGGGUCCUGGGAUGGAGUCCCUGCAUCAGGCCCUCUGCUCAGCAGGGAGCCUGCUUCCCCCUCUCUCUGUCUGCUGCUCUGCCUGCUUGUGAUCUCUCUCUCUCUCUCUCUGUCUGUGUCAAGUAAAUAAAUAAAAUCUUAAAAAAAAAAUGCAGUCUACUGGGUGCUCUCCUGGGUUCUCUAGGGUUGAGGCCAUGGAAGGGACUAUUUCUGAAGGCAGGCAGCAGGCUAGAACCAGCCACAUUACCAUCUAGCAAAU
rnacentral:lncRNA from 1 species